AUGAUUUGGCUUGUGUUGGGUUGCCCUUAUGCAUCAAGAUUGCAUUCUUAUAAUUGCAGGAUCUACUUUUCGAGAUAUAUGUGUUAGUGAUUGAAAUUCGGAAUACUUGGAAAUCCAAAGGCUAAAAUUUUGUCAGUUUAAGCUGAAAAUUCACAUAGGAAGAUUUUGGGUAUACCCUUUAUAGUAGAGGUGAUAACUUAAACUUUGACAUGGACCAAGUUUGGGUGGCCUAGAGUAGAGGUGAUAGAGAGAUCAGAGAUGAGACAGGAGAUAAACCUGUGUACAUAGACUUAGGGCACUAGGACACUUAGCUCUGAUGAAAAUUUAGAAUUUUGCAGGCAUCUAACUCAAAUUGACAAUAAGUGGAGAGACCUUUAGAUUAUUUGGAUCAAGUUUAGGUGGCUUAUAUAGAGAGACAAUGUGAGACAAGCAUGGGCUGAAUCAACAUACAAAAACUCGAGAGCAUUUUCUAGGACUAAUUUCACAUUUUGUUAGAACUUAAUUUAUUAGAACUCUAGGUCCUUUGAUGUUACCGGUUAAGCGGUAGUUUUGAAAAGUAAUAUAUUAUUGAUAAAUAAUUAUCAACUAAUUAAUUUUAUUUAUUUGACUAUUGAAGAAUAUUGGCGUGCUAAAUAUGGUACUACAAACCUCAUAUUCAUUCAUGCAUGAAAUAUUAACAUACUUAUUGGUCCUAGCAAUACUGGUUAUGUUCUUCAAUUUUCAAUCUAUAAUUCCACCUACUGAAACUAAUUCUGAAAGUUUGAAUAGCAAGCUUUAGUUAUUAUAUGUUAUGGAUGAUUAUGUAUCCUCUAAUUCCAAUGUAAUAUUUGGUAUUUUAUUUACUUAAGUAAUUUCUUCACUCAAAUAUUAGGUUUAUAAAACUUCGUUGAUUAUUUGUAAAGACUUUUUCUUGAAGUUUUAUUACGUUACGUGUUCUGGUAAUUGGUGUGCUAAUCACCACACUGUCAUUCUUUACGUUAGAUUGUUCAAUGGUGAUGAAAUUCUUAACAUUUUUUACAAUAGGUAGUCUUGUAGAUGCAAACUUCCUACAGAGCAUAAUAUAUGGAUGUUCAUUGUUGAGUGCCCUGAGUGGCUAAACUAUCACAAUCACCUUGAUGAAAUUGUCCAGACUUUCACAAAAUAGAUGGAAACAUUGCACUCUCUAGAGGACGAUGUUAACGCACAAUUGGUAAAUGAAGAGUUAAAUCCUAGAAAGAAGUGAAAGAGAGAAGUUGCCGUUUGGUUGAAAAAUGUACAA